rnacentral:rRNA from 1 species
UACGUAGGUGGCAAGCGUUGUCCGGAAUUAUUGGGCGUAAAGGGCGUGUAGGCGGUAGUAAAAGUCUGGUGUGAAAGUUUGCAGCUUAACUGUAAAAUUGCAUUGGAAACUAUACAACUAGAGUGUCGGAGAGGAAAGCGGAAUUCCAUGUGUAGCGGUGAAAUGCGUAGAUAUAUGGAGGAACACCAGUGGCGAAGGCGGCUUUCUGGACGACUACUGACGCUGAGGCGCGAAAGCGUGGGGAGCAAACAGG